UGUUUUUAAUGAAUGAAACUUUUGUAUCCCAAAACUGACGCUGAGUGAAAUUUUUGUGAGUUUGUCUCUUUAUGUGGUUGGCUAGUGGUGUGAUCUAAUUUUGGUGCCCAACUUCCUCCAUACCUCCGGUUACUUCUUAAGUCUUCUCUUCUCCACUUCUAUCUUUGUAUCUCCUAUUCAAAAUGCCAGUAAGAUAUGGUUAGAUGACAAUGGUACAAUUGACUCUCUUCAUUUUAUAUUUUCUUUUUUAAAUCAUCCUCUACUGGUAUUUCACUACCCAUUAAUUUCUGGAUAAAUAGAAUAAGGUAUUAUUAGUUGAUCUUUAGUUCAAUUUUAGAUAAUUUCGUUUGCUCUCUCUCACAUUCUAGUUAUCUCUUCUCAACUUCUUGUAUUAUUGGUCUAGUACUUAAAAACAUCCAUAAAUUCUAGUAUACUGUGGAGUAUGUAUCAAAAUAUUUCUAGCGUGGAAUGUGUUUACUUUGACAUAGUGCAUGGCUUAUGGAAAAUGUGCAGGUGCAAGCAGUGCUCUUGCUUUUGGGAGAGCGCAAAAUACCUACUGGUGUGCCUACCAUUGAUGUUCCAUUUAAUUCGAAUAACAGGGGUGUGGAUGAUAACCAGAAGUGCUCAAAUAUUUCACGAAGAAUUGCCUCCCUGGUUAGGUUCCGUGAAAAGCGGAAGGAGAGAUGCUUUGAUAAGAAAAUUAGGUACACCGUGCGAAAAGAGGUUGCUCAUAGGUAAGAGGUGGUUACGACUCAUGUUUUAAUCUGCAAUUAAUGCAUCUUUGAUGUGGCUAUUUAAAUGUGUCGAGUGUAACGGGAAUGUUCUCUUCUCUUUAUUUUUCUUUUGGGGAGGGAGACAUAAAGGAUGCCCAUGGUUCCCAUCCGAAUGCCUCGGAAAUGGGUUGGGGCAUACUGGUGUUACCCAAAAGCUUUAGGCCUUUGUUCCACAUUUGUACUAACUCCACAGCGAGUCGUGUAUUUAUCAUAUCCUUUUACGUCUGUAGAACUUUUUAACUUCUAUAGGUCAUAUUUUUGUGGUCCUAUAAAAUGUUCUAUAAAUUGGUUAGUGCAUUUUGGUCAAAACGAUUUGGAAUAUAUAAGAAAUCUGGGAGAUUUAGAUACUCCACGUCAAGGAUAAACAUAAAUAAUUAGGCAUGGAAAUCACAAAUUGCAAACGGCGAUAUAUAAGCAAACCCUCUAUUUAGUAGGGUUAUAUUUGAUAUGAGAAGAACUUUUCUUCCAAAACCCUCAAUCCCAAUCAUUUUGGUAAAAUCCUUACUGCAUUCAAUUUGCCCUUGGUUACAAUUAUUUUUAUAGGAUUUUUAGUGGUUCGAAAUUUGAAUGUGAAAU